rnacentral:ribozyme from 14 species
UGCUUUUGCUUUUGAUUUUGAUUUUGCUUUUGCUUUUUGCUUUUGCUUUUCAAUUCUAUAUUUUAUUUACCUUUUGAAUUGGUGAGGAA